rnacentral:lncRNA from 1 species
UCACCAGCAAAAAUCACCUUGAACAAAACUGGAGAAUUCUAUUUUUCAUGUUCCUUCCAAGGCCAUUGUAGUAGUGGCCAAAAGCUAAGCGUUAAAGUCAUUUCCUCUUCACCUGCUCCAGCAAAUCCUCCUUCACCAACUAAUGGUCCUUCUCCUCCACCAUCUGGAACCACACCUUCUCCUCCACCAUCUGGAACCACACCUUCUCCUCCACCAUCUGGAACCACACCUUCUCCUCCACCAUCUGGAACCACACCUUCUCCUCCACCAUCUGGAACCACACCUUCUCCACCAUCUCCUACCCCACCUACCAACGGUGGUUCACCACCUCCGUCGUCUCCAACUCAGCCUGAUGCGACUCCUCCAUCAGAGGGCUCAGCCACCACCCUCUUUGCGACUUUCUCUAUUCUUAUCGCUCUUGUCAUAAAC